rnacentral:rRNA from 1 species
GAUGAACGCUGGCGGCGUGCCUAAUACAUGCAAGUCGAACGAACUAAUUUAUUAGUGAGUGGCGAACGGGUGAGUAAUACAUAAGUAACCUGCCUUUCAGAGGGGGAUAACGUUUGGAAACGAACGCUAAUACCGCAUAACAUAACGAGGUCGCACGGCUUUGUUAUCAAAGGAGCAAUCCGCUGGAAGAUGGACUCGCGUCCAAUUAGCUAGUUGGUGAGGUAAAGGCCCACCAAGGCGACGAUUGGUAGCCGGACUGAGAGGUUGAACGGCCACAUUGGGACUGAGACACGGCCCAGACUCCUACGGGAGGCAGCAGUGGGGAAUAUUGCACAAUGGGGGAAACCCUAUGCAGCGACGCCGAGUGAGGGAAGAAGGUUUUCGGAUUGUAAACCUCUGUCCCGGUUGAAGAUAAUGACGGUAGACCGGGAGGAAGCUACGGCUAAUUACGUGCCAGCCGCCGCCGUAAAAC